ACCGUCGCCGAUCCCCUCGGUACAACGACGCGAACCUGUUAAAAUGGUCUCGCGAUCCGAUAUUUUCCCCGUUUUUUUCCCCCUCCGCUUUCAAAUACUACAUGGUAGUUUUAUCGUAUUAUACACAAUAUAUACCUACGCGUAUAAAUAUUGGUCAUAAGCAAACGGUCGGCUCCGGUUCCGCUGCCGUUUGUUUUGUACGAUCGUUUCUCGGACGGUCGCAAAUGCACGGUAGGUGUAUACACGUAUAUUAUAUAAUUUUAAGAUUACUUUAAGUUUCCCCCCCCUCCCCCACUCCGAUCGAUCGCGUAUAAUACCGAAACACGUAUCGCGACG